rnacentral:lncRNA from 1 species
AGAGCUAGCAAUCCAUCACAUGACAUGAAUACUAUAAGAAUGAAAAAUUUCCUAUAAUGUCUCAUACCCUCUCGCCUAUAAGUGUGGCGCACUUCACACCUAUGAACAAGACUCUACUUAACGUGGCUUCUAAAUACCCUAGGACACUUAAACCUUGUGAUCUGAUACUAAGUUUGUCAUGAAUUGAGACUUUCCCCUAAUCAAAAUACGGU